UAGAUAGGCCACUUAGCUGACACUUGGAAAG
rnacentral:piRNA from 1 species